rnacentral:tRNA from 1 species
UUUUAUCUAAUAUGAAUAAAUUUCAAUUUCGACUUGAAAAUAGAUUUAAUUUUAAUCCAUAUUAAUU